rnacentral:rRNA from 1 species
UACGGGAGGCAGCAGUGGGGAAUUGUUCGCAAUGGGCGAAAGCCUGACGACGCAACGCCGCGUGGAGGCCGAAAACCUUCGGGUCGUAAACUCCUGUCGAGCGGGACGAAUACUGCCUGGUUUAAUAACCCAGGCGGCUGACGGUACCGUUAAAGGAAGCCCCGGCUAACUACCGUGCCAGCAGCCGCGGUAAUACGGGGGGGGCAAGCGUUGUUCGGAUUUACUGGGCGUAAAGAGCUCGUAGGCGGCUUGCUUAGUCGAACGUGAAAUCCCUCUGGCUCAACUGAGGAACUGCGUCCGAUACUGGCAGGCUAUGAAUCCGGGAGAGGGAUGCGGAAUUCCAGGUGUAGCGGUGAAAUGCGUAGAUAUCGUGGAGGAACACCGGUGGCGAAGGCGGCAUCCUGGACC